rnacentral:rRNA from 1 species
AUGCCAUCGUCACCGCCGGCGGCGGCGGCGGCACCACGAAGCCGUCGAUCCAAGAAAAAGACACGGACGUACCACGUGUCGGUGUUCUGGUUCACGCCCGUCCCGCUGCCGGAGAGGGACUGGGCGGAGCUGCACCCGAACCUGAUCUCCUGCAUCCUCCACAAGCUCGACCAGGCCGAGCUCCUGCUCGGCGGCGUGGCCGGCGUGUGCCGUUCCUGGCGGCGGGCCGCCCGGGAAGAGCCGGAGUUGUGGCGCUGCAUCGAUCUCCGUGCCGGCCUGUGGUUCGUCCCGCCGUUCCACCCCAAGUUCAGCCUCGAGGCCAUGGUGCGGGCCGCCCUGCGGCUUAGCCAGGGCCAGUGCGAGGCCUUCCUGACCAACCUCGCCGACGACGAUAUCCUCCUCUUGCUCGCCAAGCAGGCACCUGCGCUAAAGUGCCUCCAUCUCCAUAGGUGCUAUGUCUCGGAUGAAGGAUUUGCGACGGUGAUUAAGAUGUUACCUCUACUUGAGGAGCUCGAGAUUUCCAAAUGUCCGCAAAUAUAUAGUAGGGAGACAUAUGAACUUGUCGCUAGAGCAUGCCCACUGCUAAAGCACUUCAGACAUGUCUCGGGAAAGAACUGCCAUGCUGGUUAUGCGAUAACAUUUGCGGCUCCAAGGAUGCGCAAACUACGUUCCUUGGAUGUUGUCGGUUGCACCUUCGGUAGGGAAGUUCUGGUAGCUAUCCUAGACAAUUGCCAUGACCUAGAGUACCUUAACAUGUCAGUGUGCGACCCUAUUGCCAUUGAUAACCCACCAGAAAAUCUUGCCUGGAUGAGCAUGGAUGACCUUUAUUGGUACUCGAGCAACUAUUACGAUGACUAUACUGGUUGUAACUACUGCUAUCCCUACAAGCCCAGGUAUAACUACUGUCGUCCCUGGUCAUAUCCGCAUUACAAAGACGAUCCCUAUUAUGAUUACUGCUACUACCUUGGUGACGGUGAUGAUGUUGAUGAUGCCGAUCUCGAAGAGUAUGAGAAGAUACUUGACAUCAAGAGCAUGCGUAGGACUGGGCGGAGCUGCACCCAGACUAGUCUCCCGCGUCCUCCACGGGCUAGACCAGGCCGAGCUCAUACUGGGCGGCGUGGUCGCGUGUGCCGCUCCUGGCGACGGGCCGCCCAGGGCCAGGAGGAGCCGGAGCUGUGGCGCCACAUCAACGUGCACGGUCGCCUGUGGCUCGUCCUGCCGUUCCACCCCAAGUUGACCCUCGACACCAUGGUGCAGGCCUCCCUACGGCUCAUCGCGGGCCAGUGUGAGGCCUUCCUGACUGACCUCGCCAACGAUGAUAUCCUCCUCGUGGUUGCCAAGCAGUACGAUUUCAUUCCUUCUUCUCUUUUCCCUAACAAUUAA